rnacentral:lncRNA from 1 species
CACAUUCUUCCCCACCUGAGUCUGCGCUGACGAUUUCCUGGGCUUAUCUGGAUCUUCCUGCAGAAAGUCAGUCUUAUGUGACCCUGUACAACCUCCUGGACUUUCCCGCGGGCGUGGUGCCUGUCACUAUCGUGACACUACAGGACGAGGAGGAACUGGCCUUCUACAAGGGGUGCUACGGAGAUAGUUCUGACAAAAAUUUCUCAGAGCCACCAUAUAAAGAAGUCCAGGCUAUACUCCUAGAGGCCACAUGCAAGAGAACUGAGGCAUCCCAGCUGACAGCCAGCACCAACUGCCGGGCAUGUGAGUGAACUUUCCUAGAAUACGACCCUCCAGCUCCCAUCAAUCAAGACUGAAGAUGAUAUAGCCCUGGACAGUGCGGCUUGACUGCAGCCUCAUGAGACACCCAGAGUCAGACCACCCAGCUAAGCUGCUCCUGGAUUUCUGACCCUCAGAAACUAUGAUACAAUAAAUAUUUGUUGCAAGCCACUAA